AUCCCUGUGAUGAUGAAUUACUUUACAUCUGGAAUUACCGCCUGAAUGUAAGUGAUGACUACUAACUCUGAGGGAUUGG